GAUGAACGCUGGCGGCGUGCCUAAUACAUGCAAGUCGAGCGAACAGACGAGGAGCUUGCUCCUCUGACGUUAGCGGCGGACGGGUGAGUAACACGUGGAUAACCUACCUAUAAGACUGGGAUAACUUCGGGAAACCGGAGCUAAUACCGGAUAAUAUAUUGAACCGCAUGGUUCAAUAGUGAAAGACGGUUUUGCUGUCACUUAUAGAUGGAUCCGCGCCGCAUUAGCUAGUUGGUAAGGUAACGGCUUACCAAGGCAACGAUGCGUAGCCGACCUGAGAGGGUGAUCGGCCACACUGGAACUGAGACACGGUCCAGACUCCUACGGGAGGCAGCAGUAGGGAAUCUUCCGCAAUGGGCGAAAGCCUGACGGAGCAACGCCGCGUGAGUGAUGAAGGUCUUCGGAUGGUAAAACUCUGUUAUUAGGGAAGAACAAAUGUGUAAGUAACUAUGCACGUCUUGACGGUACCUAAUCAGAAAGCCACGGCUAACUACGUG
rnacentral:rRNA from 1 species